AUCUUUGCGCAGAGGCGAUAUCAUAGCCAAUGAGGUUUAUCCGAGGCGUGAUUAUUGCUAGUUGAAAACUUAUCCCAAUACCCCGCACAAGCGGCGUGAAAUAUCGUUGCUUGAUGCAAUUUGUGACCGUUCUUCGGAAC
rnacentral:snRNA from 1 species